AUUUUGGGGAUUUUUUGGGGAAUUUGGGGGGAUUUGGGAGAUUUUUGGGAAUUUUGGGGGAAUUUUUGGGAAUUUUGAAGAGAUUUUGGAGAAUUUUGGUGAGUUGGGGAAUUUUCGGGGAUUUUAAGGGGAUUUGGGGAAUUUUGGGGGGGAUUUGGGGAAUUUUAGGGAUUUCUGAGGGGAUUUGGGGGAUUUCGGGUUUAUUUUGGGUUUAUUUUGGAUUUUGGGGGGGUCCCGGGGGAAUUUUGGGGGAAUUUGGGGGAAAUUGGGAUAUUUUGGGGGAAUUUUGGAGUUUUUUGGGUAAUUUUGGUUUUGGUGGGGUCCUGGUGGGAUUUUGGGGAAUUUGGGAUAUUUUGGGGAAAUUUUGGGUAAUUUUGGAUUUUGGGGGUGUCCCGGGGUUAUUUUGGGUUUAUUUUGGAUUUUUUGGGGGAAUCUUUGAUUUGGGGGAGGGGUCCCAGGGAUUUUUGGGGUUUUUUGGGGGGAAUUUGGGUUAUUUUGGGGUGAAUUUUGGGGUUUUUUGUGUAAUUUUGGAUUUUGGGGGGGUCCCGGGGUAAUUUUGGGUUUAUUUUGUAUUUUUUGGUUAAUUUUGGAUUUGGGGGGGGUCCCGGGGUAAUUUUGGGUUAAUUUUGUAUUUUUUGGGUAAUGUUGGAUUUUUGGGGUAAUUUUGGGGUCCCUGACCCCCCCCGUGUCCCCUCCCCCCCCCAGGGCUGUUCCUGAUGGACGAGGAGUGGGGGAGGGGCGGCGAAGAGGCGGAGCCCGAGUGGGACAGCGACGAGAGCCCCCCCGAGGAGGGGCCCCCCCCGCAGCCCCCCCGGGCCCCCCCUGGCCCGUUCGGUGCCGCUGUCGGUGCCGCGAUGGACCCCGAGAGCCCCCCCGGGACCCCCCCCCGGGACCCCCCCCGGGACCCCCCGGCAGCGGCGGCAAGGUGGGGGGAAUUUGGGAAAAUUUGGGAAAAUUUGGGGAAAUUUGGGUUUUUAGGGGGGGUUUGGGGGGGGUUUUAGGGGGUUUGGGGGGGUUUUGGGUAAAUAUUGUUUUUUUAU
rnacentral:lncRNA from 1 species